UUGACCUCGGAUCAGGUAGGACUACCCGCUGAACUUAAGCAUAUCAAUAAGCGGAGGAAAAGAAACCAACAGGGAUUGCCUCAGUAACGGCGAGUGAAGCGGCAACAGCUCAGAUUUGGAAUCUGGCCCCCAGGGCCCGAGUUGUAAUCUGGAGAGGAUGCUUCUGGCGCGGCGCCUUCCGAGUUCCCUGGAACGGGACGCCAGAGAGGGUGAGAGCCCCGUACGGUCGGACGCCUAGCCUCUGUGAAGCUUCUUCGACGAGUCCAGUAGUUUGGGAAUGCUGCUCAAAAUGGGAGGUAAAUUUCUUCUAAAGCUAAAUACCGGCCAGAGACCGAUAGCGCACAAGUAGAGUGAUCGAAAGAUGAAAAGCACUUUGAAAAGAGGGUUAAACAGUACGUGAAAUUGUUGAAAGGGAAG
rnacentral:rRNA from 1 species